rnacentral:tRNA from 5 species
CUGCCUGUAGCUCAGCUGGAUAGAGCGGCGGCCUUCUAAGCCGCGGGUCGGGGGUUCGAGUCCCUCCAGGCAGGCCA